rnacentral:rRNA from 1 species
CCAAGGAGUCUAGCAUGUGUGCGAGUCAUUGAGAUUCGUAAAACUGAAAGGCGCAACGAAAGUGAAGGCGCGCGCUAGCCGCGCGCUCGGGGAGGAUGGAGGUCGAUUUCGCGUCGGCCUCUCGCACUCCCGAGGCGUCUCGUUCGCAAUCCGUCGAUGCAGGCGCGCUCAGAGCACAAAUGCUGGGACCCGAAAGAUGGUGAACUAUGCCUGGUCAGGUCGAAGUCAGGGGAAACCCUGAUGGAGGACCGUAGCGAUUCUGACGUGCAAAUCGAUCGUCGGAACUGGGUAUAGGGGCGAAAGACUAAUCGAACCAUC